AGGACACAGUGAGCUCUUUAACGCGCUGAACUAAACGAAUGAAGGGGAACACCAACUCAGCUGUCACCCCCGCCCCCAAGUGUCACUGGCUAGAAGAUCUUCCCCCGGUUCGCCGGCAGCACCGGUGGGUCUUGUCACCUCUGCGCCCCGCAGCCCUCCGGAGGCUGCCGUUGCUGUCUGUUGACAGGCGUCCCCUCAGCAGAACGGGGGCUCCUCCAGCGCAGGGCCCCGCUCAGCACCCCUGGUCCCGGGGGCCCCCACAGAGGCCGCCGCGCUCAGUGAAACUUUGCCGCGCGCAGCAGUGGCCGGAGACCCGCGCGGACCCUCUCCCCGAGAGGACCGGCCAGGGCGCGCCGCCCCUCCUCAGCGGCAGACGACCCGACCUGGACCAAGGUCGGCCAAGUCCUCGCCGCCUGCCCAGCGGCCCUUGGACCCACAGGACCCGGACCGGAGUGCGCGGAAGCCUCCGAGCCACGGCCAGGUCUCAGAAUGCGCGGCGGGGCAGCCCGGCCCGUCAAGCAGCGAAGCCGAAACUAGAAGCCUGAGGUCUGGCUUGGUCACUGUUUGCUGGGGAACUCCGACGAGCAACUACCCUUCGGGGACUCAGUUUCCCCCGGGCCAAGUGAGACGGACAGCUGCGGCUCCCGCGAGAACUCGCGCGGGAACAGGAGCCGCGGGCUCCGCACAGCGCCCGGCACGUAGACCGAGUCUACUAACGGGCUGGAAGGUCGCGCUCCCGCCUCCGCGCUGCCCUAGAAUCUUUCUCACCUCAGGCUUGGGCUCCCGGACUCUCUCACCUCACGGCCCCUCCUUCCACCUUGGGCCGCCCAGCCUCAACCGCCCUCACUUCCGCUGACCCGCCUCCCGGAAGCGAUCCUCCGCAGCUGCGCACCGAGCCGCACCUACGCGCACCCUCGGGAGGCGGGUCCAGCUGGGUGGUGAGGGCAGCGCGGCUCCCGAGUAGGCGGCCGCCGAUCCCGCGGAGCACACUCCCCUCCAUCGAGACCGUGACCCCGCGGGGUCUGUUUCCCCGGGAGGAGUUGGCUGCGUUUGGAGAUCCCUGGGCCUAGUAUUCGUCGCGUCCCCCUGCUUGUUGCUCUCCACGUUUAGCCCCAUCCGACUUCUGGAAGCCGAGGGGUGUGUCGCUCGACCCCUAAAAUAUGCUCCUACCCCUAGGGCAAACUUCAGAAUCCUCACCCUGGCCCCCUUCCCAGUUCUUGGUUCCCAGGCAAGUCCCUUUGCAAAGCCUCUCUCCAGCAAGAAUGGGCAGAAUGGGCCUCUUUCUCCUCUGACUCCUGCCCUCCAGCACUUUGCAGCUUUGUUCUAUUUUAGCCUCUCUCUCUCUCUCUAACACACAUGCACACACGGUAUAUUCAAUGAGUUUGCUUAUUAGAUGGGUACUUGAUGCACAAGACUCCAGAGGCACUGUGGGAAGAGCCACAUUCCUUCCAAGCUCACUAACCCACUCGCUCUUUGUGCUCCAGCCCUCACUGUCCUGGUCUGUGGCAUGCAGUUCCUGGGUCACAUUUCCUCCUCUGCCUUCAGCACAGCCUCGGGCUGUGCCUGGCUCCCAGGCUGGAGUUCCUUGGUUCCAAAGCCUGCAGUCCCCUCUGCCAGAGACAGAGCUGGUUUCAUGGGUGAACAGCCCAUGCAGUCAUAACGGGCCGCAUGCUCAGAACCCUGUACUUGGUUUAGUACUUUGCUGUUGCCGUCUUGAAAUGAUUUUCUAAUAGGGGGUCUUCUGUUUUCAUUUUGCACGGGGCUCUGCAAAUUAUGUAACUGGUCCUGGCAAGAGACCUCAGAGGUCAUGCACCCUGAUCUCCACCAUAUCUCAAACGCUGAAGAUUGACUUCCAGGCCUGGCCCUCUUUCCAGGAUGGCACAUUGUGUUUUAAUCAUUACCUUUCCCUCCUGUGCGAUGGCAGAUCAUGCAAGUCCACGCUGGCUGGCUGUCCUGGGUGUAGAUGCUGAUUUGGUGUCCCACUCAGAUCCCCUUGCAGGAAGAAUGGAGCCCCCUACCUGGGAAUUUCCUUCACCUCCCAAGCCAAUGACUGAUACAAGGUCCAAAAGGCCAGUUCAACUCUGCAGUGUGGUUUAUGCCCCACAGCUCUCCCACUGUGGGUCAGGCCAAGGCUGGGCUGAGACUGUUCCUGCUCAGCAUUUUUCCUUUCCCUCUUCUGCUUCCUUCCUUCUUUUACUGGUUUUUCUGGAAGUACACUCCCCCCGCCAGCCCCACCAAACAAACAAAAAAAAC
rnacentral:antisense_RNA from 1 species